rnacentral:lncRNA from 1 species
UUUAGUGGCUAUUUCUCUUUCCUUUACGUAUAUGAUAUGCUUUGAUGUUACUUAACUGAACUUAUGAUGUGUUUUUAUGAGGCCUGCGUGCCAAGAAAAUUUAUGAAGUUGAAUUUAAUUCCGCUGCUUUAUGUUGAAGUUUAUGUUGCAGGAUAAAUUAUUAUUUAUCUAUUUUUGAGAUUUUAAGAAGUGUGAUAUCCCGUUAUAUGUUGUAUACUCUGAUUAUAUGUUU